AGCAUCAUGCCGCAAGGGUAUGAGUGUUGGAGCUAAAAUUACACUGGGUGCUCUCGGUGCAGGUGUAUCUCUUGGGGUUGGAGUAGCCAUGUCUUUAAUUUCCUCUGAAUCCUUCUGAAGCAUCUGAAGUUUCUGCAAACCUGAAAGCUGUCAGGAAGUAUCCCUGGCUAGUUGCCCAGAGAACUAACUCUGAGAUGAAUGGAUCCUACUUCAGCCGUUUCUUUGUAGGGAGAACAUUCUGGAAGCAUUUAGCCAGGUGCCCUGACUGUGAGAAGACCUGGCCAGCCUGAAGCAGACCCUGGGAGCAGAUGUGCACUGAAGAGAGGCAGCAAAGGGGGCAGGCCAGUGAUGAUGCCAUCUCCUGUGCAGAACAGAUCCUUGCCCGUAAUGGAAAGUGAUGAAGACAUGACAGACUUUCCUCUGGGAAGACUGUGGGAUCAGAAUGAGCCAUUUUUGGAUAUAAAUGUCAGGGGCUUUGCCUGCAGCAGUUCAAGGAAGACAUAAUUACUGUGUGCUGCCUCCCUCCACUCCUUGCCCUGCACUGAACCACCCACCUCCCUUGAAACAGAUCCACAGAGUUGGGGGUGGGAGGAGGCGGCAGGGGCUGCACCUGCUCAGGAUUCUUUCCCAGUCUCAGUGGAGUCUCUGACUUCUCAGAAUUCUGACCCUGAGAGCCCAGUGGGAAUCCAGCAGGCAGAGGGAGACCAUCUACCACGGAUGUAGCUCCGGAAUUGAGGGCAAUGUAUGAACUAAACCUGGAGCCUUCUCUGUCAAAGACAGGCUGAGUUUAUGCAUUCUGAGAUCAGUUCUGGGCUUUUCUGAAACUCAGCUGGGGGUCUCAGAACUGAAUCCUUAGGCACUGCCCUGUCUUUUCCCUGAAAAUACAGAUGUGACACAGAGAUAUUUAUGUUUACCAACUACCUGGAUCAGACAUAUUGGGUCUUUACUAAAUCCUUGUAACUUGGAAACUUUAAUAAUGAUUUUCUAGCAUACCUUCCACCUAAUCUCGAAUGGCAUUUAAAAGGCAGACUUAUUGAAGGACACUUGCUCAGACAAUUAUCUUUUUGUAUUCCAGAUUCUAUACAAACCGAACAUGGCUUCCGUAAGGGAACAUCUGUUCUAUACCUAGCAGGAUUAAAAUAUUCAGAAAAUUUAUCCCACUUUACAACUACAUAAUUUAAUUUGGUUCUUUUAAACAUUUAAAAUUACAGUGUAAAGGUUCACAAGGUUGAUGAGUUCCUUUUUCUAUGACUGAGUUGAAGAGCUAUUAUUAUUCUACGGUCACAGACUCUACCAUUCCCUAAUUUCAGCCUGAUAGACAUCCCGUGGGCCUAUUCAUCUUCAGCUGUAUUCAUCUGGUUUUGCUUCCUUAUUUCAACUACAUUUUUGAAUGUUCCUGUCUGAGCUUAUCCACUGUGCCUGUCCUUAUAACAUUAUCGGAGAGAUAAUAUUCAUUUAAUUCUCACCAUUCCAUCCUAACUACUUUCCUAUGAGGCUUUGGUCUCUACAGAAGUGAUAGCCUAGAGGCUUCUCUGUUCCUGAGGGUGGUGCUGAUAACAGCGAGAGUGAAUGUGCUCAUAAUAGAAUUUCCACACUUUUCUUUUUAAAAUGUCACAAGUAAUAUAUGUCCAUGAUGAAACUGAGAAAACAUGAACGCAGAAAGAAAAAUUAAGAAUUUAUAUGUAUAAAUUUAUAAAUAUGUACAUGUAUAUUUAUAAACACGGGAUACAUUUGAUCACUUUUUAAUAUGUUCCUGCUUAACACAAUGUGAACAUGUUUCCUUAUUCUCAAGGCUGCCAAAUUUUGCCUGGUAUAGGUACAAUUAAAUUAAUUUAAUUAAGCUUUUAUUGUUGGAGAUUCAAGUGAUUUAAAAAUCUUUGCUAUGGUAAGUGCACUGAUGAACAUCUUAUAGUUAUAUUCUUGGGCAUUUGCUCAAGUAUUUUUGUAAGAUAAAUUUUCUGGAACCCAAUUUCUUUUUGACCAUAGCUCUGCCCAUAGCCUUAACUGGCUCCUUCAAUGGGAUCUGAUUUUGGCAACACAGAAGACACAGUAUUGCUUCUACUGAACUCUUUAUAUUAUUCCUUUGACCCAAAGUCUUCAGAAAUUUCUCACUUUGGGUUUUCUAUUCCUUUGCUAGAGGUUAUCUGGGGCUUGACCUAAGUUGUCAUUUCCCCAUUCCCUCCUAUCUCUCAACAUUGUUCCUUUGCCUUCUCUAAAUGCCUGCAUUUCCCGUGACUCUGUCUUUGGGUUCCAUUCUUUGUAGUCUGUACUCUCCCUCAGCUAAUUCUCCCUCCGAUUCUAAUUUAGGAGAGUGAUGAAUUCUUGAGUUUUAGCCUUUUCCCCAAUCCUUUGACAUAUGUUCCCAGCCAUCACCUUGGCAUCUCCACGUGUGCAGGUGACUCAAAGUUAGUAUUCCUCAGAAUAAACUCAUGCUUUACUCCAAACUCCCAAGAAAAUAAAACAAAUGCAAAAAUAAAAAACAAAAGCACCCCCUCCCCAAAACCAAACAACUCAUUUUCUCCUUCUGCGCUCUCUUUUUUAAAGCGAAAGCACCCACUACCUACCAUCAAAAUGUCAUUCAGAUUCAGAGUUAACUGACAUUUAUUGACUGCAUCAAAUCUUAUUAGUCACCUGCAUAAAACUAAUGGCUUCCCAUUGUCAUUAAAGUGUAACUCAAAGGCCUUAUAACUGCCACAAGGCUCCUGGUCUUUACCUGCCCUCUGCCCUCCUCUAUUCCCAGGCUCCUCCUGGUUGACUCUGCCCCAGCCACCUUCUUUCUGGCCUUCUCUUCCAAGUGCAAGUACCCGUACAUCUCAGAGAUUUGGCAUUUAACCCAUCCUUGGCCAUGAACCCCUUUCUGCAUUGUGCUUUUGGUGGUGUAACUAAAAAAUCAUUGCCAAACCCAAGGUCACCUAUUCUAUGUUUUCUUCUGGAUGUUUUAUAGUUUAAAUUUAGAUCUACAAUCCAUUUUAAGUAAAUGUUUGUAAAAGGAGGAAGGUCUUUGUCUAGAAUCUCUUUUUUGCAUAUGGGUAUCUAGUUGUUCUAACACCAAUUGUUGAAUAUAUUAUCCUUUGUUCAUUGAUUUGCCUUUGUGCCUUGAUCAAAGAUCCAUUAAAUAUAUUUG